rnacentral:sRNA from 1 species
UGGGUCCCCCAGCUUCCUCAAUGGCUCCACCGCCACCUCGCCCUUCGCCAUCAUGCCCUCUAGCCCCCCGCUGGCAGAAGAGGGGGUGCCAGGCCUCCUGUAUUUGGGGUCUUCCCCCGGUGGAUGUCUCAUGGACUCUGGCCCCACACACUCACAAUGACUCUGGCUGGCCCCAUGCAGCGGGCCCAGGCGGCCUCACAUUCUGCUCUGCUAAGUUUGGAGAAAACAGAACAAUAAACCAGAUGCAGGUGGUGCCCGCCCGGCCUCUCACCUGCCUCCUUGGUGUGA